CGCAUCUGUGCAUGCAGCAUAUCAAUAAGCGGAGGAAAAGAAACUAACAAGGAUUCCCCUAGUAACGGCGAGUGAAGCGGGAAGAGCUCAAAUUUGAAAUCUUAAAGGGUUUCCCUUUACGAAUUGUAGUUUAAAGAAGUGUUUUCUGUUGAGGUUUUGGUAAAAGUUCUUUGGAAUAGGACAUCAUAGAGGGUGAGAAUCCCGUAUUUGACCUUUACUUUCAACUUUGUGAUACACUUUCAAAGAGUCGGAUUGUUUGGGAAUGCAGUCCAAAAUGGGUGGUAAAUUUCAUCUAAAGCUAAAUAUUGGCGAGAGACCGAUAGCGAACAAGUACCGUGAGGGAAAGAUGAAAAGAACUUUGAAAAGAGAGUUAAACAGUACGUGAAAUUGUCAAAAGGGAAGCGUUUGACACCAGCGUUGUUUUUCUGAAAAUCAAUUAAAGAACUGUUUAUGCUAAGUUGUUUAGACUUUAUCAGCUAAUCUGUUUAGUUUUGAGCUUUUCUUUAAUGCACUUUUCAGUUAACAAGUCAACAUCAAUUUCUUUUGCUGUAAAAAAGCUUGAGGAAGGUGGCUUGAGAUUCGUCUUAAGUGUUUAUAGCCUCUUGCCUAUGCAGUCGGAGAGAUUGAGGUCUGCAGCGUAGAUCCUUCGGGGCUAAAUGCAUUUGUGCUAAGUUAUAGCAUUUUAUAGACAACUUGUUGACUAUGAUUUGUCUUGUAGCUUACUCGCUUAUGUUAUUUUACCUACGCUUAGGAUGUUGAAUCUGUGCGAGACUAC
rnacentral:rRNA from 1 species